GCUACUUAACAAGGUGGUUUGAGCCAAGUAUGUGUCUUGCGGGUCUUUGCGAAAGUGAACCAGUUAUUAGGGGCGCCUAACGACCUGGGGGGUCAACUAAGGGGACUGUGGCACGUUUCAGGCAGGAUUCCUCCUUCAUUCAAACUGCAUCACCCAGGAGUCUGCAAAUUCCCCAAAGUAGGAGGAAAAAUGACCACAUUCAAGGUGAGGGGGGCGUGCCUCUCUCGCUGUUAAAAUUCCAUGUCACUACUCAUAUUUUCAUGUGUUUUUCUCUGUCAUGAGAAGACUCAAGGGGAAAACAGGCAUUUGGGGACCUGUUUGUGCCAGGUGCUUCCUUUAUCUCUUUUGUGUUGACUGCAUUUGGUUUUUGGUUUUGCUUUGUUUUGUUUUGUUACCAUUAUUUAUUUUAUGGAGUAUGAAAAUUAGUAGAAAUGAACAGUGCUCCCACUUCCUUACCUCCCCUCUCUCAAAUUAUCUGUUUUUAUCUUCUCUGCUGUUCGUCAUGUACAUUUGUAACUGUAUUUGUAUUGAUGAUAUACAUCUAAUUGUAAACUGUGCUCUUUUUAUAUGUUAUAUAAUCUUCCAUUUU
rnacentral:lncRNA from 1 species